rnacentral:lncRNA from 1 species
UCAAGCCCAAUGCGUUGCCAAUGAACAGGAUGCUUUGUUAUCCUGCAUCGCAUCCGCACCUAGAUACGCUGCUCCAACGUUUCAGGUUAGUACCUAACUACCUAUGGCUAUACUCCUACCCUACUAAAUGUUUAAAUCCGUUAAUUCUGUAUUUGGGACAGUAUCGUUUAAAUAUUUGAUUGGAUCCGUUUCGACAUAAUAAUCUUCAUGAUUAAUUCGCUAUAUUAAUAACAUAAGAAAAUUAGGUCAUCCAACAAAAUAUUUCCCAUUGUGAUGAUCAACUAAACAAAUUAAUUAAUCUUUACUAAUAAAUUUGCCUAUUGAAAAAAUAAAAUUCUAUAAAAUAGUCGGAAACAGUAUGUGGGGUUGUAACAACGUCAAACACUAUUUGUAUUGUUUUAAAAAAUAAGAAAAUUUGUAUAUUUCUGAAUGUAUGCGACCAACCACAAUAUGUACCUAAUUUUCAAUAAUAUUUUUAUAUUCUUA